GGGCUGCAGGCUGCUCCGUGAAUGUUAUCGCCGUUCAUGUGUCCCUGACAGCCGCUGAUUGGAUGCAGGGCUGGGAUCAAGGAAAGGUGACUCCCGUCAAGAGCUGACUUCAGAGAAAGCUGCCAUGGCUGUUCUCAGCAGCCUGCGCUCAAUCCUCCCCAAGUCCUCCGACAGACACUUUGCAUCAGAUGUUUUCACUCUCUGCCUUUCAUCAUGUCGUCUCUCCCGCCACCCCCUGCAUCUACCCCCUUCCUUUUCUUUGUCCCACCAUUCCCCCAGUUGUCGGUCUCCAUCCAGUCCUAAAGUGUCACGUCUUCGUCCUGUGGUUCUUUCUCUCUGUGGACUGGUUGUGCAGCCCGUCAUAAUUGGAUGGUGUGCUGACAGUCAAGCAGUGUCACUGAAUCACCGCAAGGAGUUCUGCUUGUUAGAAAAUAAAGCAGAGUACGCUGUUUAGACUUGGCAGAACUCCCCUUCACUUUCCAUUCACAUAUGGAGCGAUGUGUGUGUUUCAGGCUGAGAUGUUUCUGAAUUCACCCAAUUCUAUCAGCUUUUUUAGUCCCCAGGCUGAUGUACAGGUUAUAUUUGGUCUGUUAGUGGGAAAUCAAUGGUGCGCCGUGUAUUUCCAGCAGCGCCACUGGCAAUGUCAGCCCACCACUUUGGUGCAGACCGAAGUAGUAAGUAAUAACUAUUUGGAAAUGAAACUGUACUGCCCAGAGGAUGGAUCCUAUAUUGAUUUUGAUGAUCCACUGACCUUUUCACCACGAGCAAGCCAAAGAUUUUGCUUCACUCUAAAAUAUGUCAACAUCUGCUAUGUUGGGCUGGCACAAAAUUGCAGUUCCCAGACAGUAACUCAUUAUUUUUCCUCUCUCACCACCUUCGGGCAGAUAUUUGGAUUCUUAAGCAAAAAAUUGCAGUAAUUAUUUGGACAUUUUCUGCUCCUACGUAGCGAGGGUUUACUCCCUAGUCUGACAUUGCUGGGUGGAAUCUGGAGGGUCUUGGGAUGGCAGGAAUGGAAAGGUUGUCAUAAUUUGGACAGAAAUUCCAUCUAAUUAGCAAUUAAUUUUGUGAGGAGGCACAGUGUAGAGCCGGACACUGUUUUUCAAUAUAAGUAAAACUUUCUGAAUGAAGCAAUACUGGAAACACUGCAGAAAAAAAAGCAGUGAACUCACCACUGUAAACCAUGGGUGCAGGUUUAUGGUAGAAAUGCCAUUAUGUUGAGAAAAAGUCCAGACACAAUGAGUAAAGCAUUAUAGUGCUAUUUCAAAAUAAAAGUCUUUUGUUUUAAAUGGGUCAGGGACCUACCCAUGCAACAAUGUAUACAGUAUGUUGGUCAAGCUGCCAGUUUAUGAAAUAAACCGUACUAACUGAA